ACCAGACUGUGGUCAAAAGCACAGCAGGCUGUGUAUUUUGUUGAGCUUACAGUUCCCUGGGAUUUCUCUGUAGAUACAGCUCUUGAGAGGAAGAAACUGAAAUGCACAGCAUUAGCCAUGGAGGCAGAGAAGCGUGGCUGGAAAGUUAAAGUCCACCUCAUGAAGCUUGGUUGUAGAGGAUUUGUAGCCAAGUCAACUGUCUCUCUGCUAGUGAACAGCAAAUUGGCAGAUCAGAAAAUAAGGAAGUUUCUCACUAAAAUAUGAUGAAAUAUACUUACAAACCACUGAGAUAACGGCAAUGAAGUGGGCUCUUGUGACUCAACCUGAGAGCAUGAAAAGGGCCUCAGAGGGGACCCGCCAUUGCCAGGCCCCUCUUUAUUGCCCUAACGGCUGCCUGAGCUCACUUCCCCAACCAUGGCAAGCUAGGAGAGAGAAAGGAGUGGAGUGGUGGAGAGCUCUCAGUGCUUUACCUGCUGUACCAGGCAGCCACUCUGCCAUGAAAGCCAAGGUUCCAGCUAGCAACACAGCCCCAGUUCAGCGCCAGAGGCCAGGCAAAACUCUGUCCAGGGACCCCACCUCAAUGAACUGUCAUUUGUCUCGGCCAUCCUGGCAGCACUACAGGCUGCAUUAAGCUUUGAUCUAUGGUGCGUGCCAGGCUACUUUGUCCUGGGAUUCAGACAAUGUAUCUACUGCAGAACUGAUCUG